ACCCUAACCCUUACUACGUAGCCUUCCUCCCCCUCUGCUUCGUCAAGGUACAAACCCUAACCCUUACUACGUAGCCUUCCUCCCCUCUGCUUCGUCAAGGUACAAACCCUAACCCUUACUACGUAGCCUUCCUCCCCUCUGCUUCGUCAAGGUACAAACCCUUACUACAUAGCCUUCCUCCCCCUCUGCUUCGUCAAGGUACAAACCCUAACCCUUACUACGUAGCCUUCCUCCCCCUCUGCUUCAUCAAGGUACAAACCCUAACCCUUACUACGUAGCCUUCCUCCCCUCUGCUUCGUCAAGGUACAAACCCUAACCCUUACUACGUAGCCUUCCUCCCCUCUGCUUCGUCAAGGUACAAACCCUAACCCUUACUACGUAGCCUUCCUCCCCCUCUGCUUCGUCAAGGUACAAACCCUAACCCUUACUACGUAGCCUUCCUCCCCCUCUGCUUCGUCAAGGUACUAACCCUUACUACAUAGCCUUCCUCCCCCUCUGCUUCGUCAAGGUACAAACCCUAACCCUUACUACGUAGCCUUCCUCCCCUCUGCUUCAUCAAGGUACAAACCCUAACCCUUACUACGUAGCCUUCCUCCCCUCUGCUUCGUCAAGGUACAAACCCUAACCCUUACUACGUAGCCUUCCUCCCCCUCUGCUUCGUCAAGGUACAAACCCUAACCCUUACUACGUAGCCUUCCUCCCCCUCUGCUUCGUCAAGGUACAAACCC